GUAAACACCAUGGAAGCACGGUUGAAUUAGUAAACAACAUGAAAUCCAGCAAGUAAACAACAUAAUAAUAGAUUUCCAUAUUGAAAUAAUCUAAAAAUCAACAAUGUACACCUUCAGUGCAUUGUAGCUGUCUGCGUCCCUAGCAACUGCAACAUCUCUAUUGGCAAUUUCCUAAGCAACCAUGUGAGGGAUAUGGGUACCCCAUAGGUCCCUACCGACCAAGAUGCUGGCCGGACCUGACAAGUGGGCCGUCCGACAAGGGUGUGCGGGCCAAGGACACGAAGUUAGUUGGAGUGCACAACAAGGCAACUAGACUGUCCAAAUGUACUCGGAUGUUGUGGGACGCAUAUUGUAAUCCGACUUAGAAUACUUUCCAUGUAAAGAACGAGUAGAUUAGAUUCAAACCGACUUGUAACCCUUGAUCAUCAGACUAUAUAAGACGGCCAAGGGUACCCCCGAGCACAACGCAACUCAUACCAAGCAAUACAAUCCACGCACACACACAGGACGUAGAGUAUUACUCUUCGGAGGCCUGAACCUGUCUAAAACCCCCUAUAUCCCUUCGUGUUCUUGCGAUCACCGUCGAGUUCUUGGUUUCGUAAUCGCCCUCACCUACAAAAUCAACCACUCCCUGGUGGACUGCCGGAUCUACAACUCCGACACCAUGAAUAUGCCUUUGUAGGUAACGCAGAGCGCAAUAUUGUUGUCAUUAACCGCUUUUCCUUGGUUCCUGAGGUUAUGGGAACUGGGUACACAACGUCAUGCAAGAUUAAUGUGCCAUGAGUUGAAAUCACACGAUGCUAAUGUUAAUCUAGUCAAAAUUGUGUUAAUCCAGUCAAAAUUGUGGAAUUUGAAAACCAUAACCCUGGAUAUAACUGUAGAUUAAAUCAAUCCUUCAGAACAUAAAAAAGAUUAAAUAAAACUAGAAUGAAUCCGAACACUACUUGGGCCAGACAAAUAAAGGGUAGCACUUAUUCACUCAUUAUCAGAAAUUGUAAAGUUUUGCAAUGGGCAAUGGCAACUACUUUAUUAUAUAUUGUGAGUAGUAUUUUAGCUCUUAUAUGUGCUCGCAAGAAAAACAGAGACACAAGAGCAUGAACACUUUAUUUCUGGGCAUAAUGCAAAUACUAAAGUAGAUUCCUAUUUUAUGGGUUCCAGGGAGGGCAUUCUCAUGUGGAAGCAAAUUCUUUCAAGAUUAACAAACUCUCACCUGAAAAGACAUGAUGUUAGCGAGGACAUUCUCAUGUGGAAGCAAAUUCUUUCAAGAUUAACAAACUCUCACCUGAAAAGACAUGAUGUUAGCAAUGAUCUAAUAUUCAGUAUCGACCCAGCAAAUAGAGCCAUAGAGGCAUUAGGC
rnacentral:lncRNA from 1 species